UGGGGAAUUUUGGACAAUGGGCGAAAGCCUGAUCCAGCAAUGCCGCGUGUGUGAAGAAGGCCUUCGGGUUGUAAAGCACUUUUGUCCGGAAAGAAAUCCUCUGGGUUAAUACCUCGGGGGGAUGACGGUACCGGAAGAAUAAGCACCGGCUAACUACGUGCCAGCAGCCGCGGUAAUACGUAGGGUGCAAGCGUUAAUCGGAAUUACUGGGCGUAAAGCGUGCGCAGGCGGUUUUGUAAGACGGAUGUGAAAUCCCCGGGCUUAACCUGGGAACUGCAUUCGUGACUGCAAGGCUAGAGUAUGGCAGAGGGGGGUAGAAUUCCACGUGUAGCAGUGAAAUGCGUAGAGAUGUGGAGGAAUACCGAUGGCGAAGGCAGCCCCCUGGGCCAAUACUGACGCUCAUGCACGAAAGCGUGGGGAGCAAACAGGAUUAGAUACCCUGGUAGUCCACGCCCUAAAACGAUGUCAACUAGUUGUUGGGGGAUUCAUUUCCUUAGUAACGUAGCUAACGCGUGAAGUUGACCGCC
rnacentral:rRNA from 1 species